rnacentral:lncRNA from 1 species
ACCCAGGCCGCGCUUCUAGCAAAGUUGCAAAGCAACGGGCAGACCUGUCAGAACGGUGAAGAUCCCGGCGAUGGAAAAAAGGCGAAACUGCUCCGCGUAGGCUGCUCGGAGUGGCAUCGCACCUUGUUCGAGUCCGAAGAAGUUCCCGCUUCUCUAAGCCGGCUGAAGGGAUGCGAGUCUCCUCUUGUCCCAACGGGACUGUGUCCUGACACAGAGUGGACUCCGCCCCAAGAGUGCGAGCGUCCUGAGCGUUCAGGGCAUCCUGAGCCGCGGAAGGCAUCCGGCCACACCCCGCUCUUUACCCGCCAACGCCAGCCCAGGAGGAGGAAACACCCACUCACGGCCGCCGGCCUUAAACGCUUGCAGAUUUGCGAUGGCAGGCAAAUCCUUCACUUUCUGGGAGCUGGCGCCGCGUCUCUGGUGCUUGCAGAAAGGAUCCAGUUUCUGUAAGGAUGCCCAGGCUUCGAUUGCACCUGGUUCUGAACACCAGCCCAGGAAUCCCACGUACCUGUUUGCGCCUCCUCCCCUGGCCGGUUACCAGUCAAGACCGCCAGGAACCUCUUAGAACAGUAGCCAAACCGGCUAGUCUUUUAUUCUGAAUCGGUCACUUUCCGUGGCUAGUAAAGUCCAACACUUUGGAUAAAUUGGCUUAGUGUAAAAAGGUAAACUAUUGUGUUUUGAUAAUGUCUCUUUUGCUGUGAUAUGUCCAGUGUGAUCAUUUAAAACAUACUGAAAAGUGUAUAGAAGAAUGUUGAAAUUCUACAUAAUCCCAACAAACUUAAAACAACUUGAAAAGCUUUAUGUAUGCUUUUAACCCUCUUUUUUUUUCAGUGCUCACUUGGUAAGACCACUUACUGAACAACUAGGUUGUUGAAGCUGUUUAACAUUUGUUGAAAAACAGCACAGAAAAUAGUAUGCCGAUUACAAAUGCAGUUCAGUACUUAAACAAACAUACUCUGGCAACAGUCUAGAUGAUAUAAUCUAGUACAAGCCUCCUUCAUCGCAGUCCGUAACAAAGAAAGCACACUCAUGCUAAAUAUAGACACUGCCUUAGCAUUAAGUAUUCUAAUUGUUCUUUCUGUCAUAAUAGUUAUCCAUCCAAUAGUCUGCAGUGCCCUGCUCCUUUCAUUCCACACUGUAUUUGAGUUUAUGCAUGCUGUUUCACGCAAUUGGGUCGUUUAAAAAUAUUCUUUUACUCU